ACCAUUCUAUUCGAAAAUCUGUUCGUUGUGUGACAUCCUACUAUGGCUAUAGGAGGUUGGCUUGGUGGAGGUGCGGCAACGUCCUCGCUCCGUGCGUACCUGGAGACUUCUGGAGAUGAGUCCACCACGAUGACGGGUAGAACGGAAACAUCAAAUCAUUCGAACGUUGCAAGGACACGUGACUACCUUGAACAUCGUUCGGGUCCCGAACUCAGUUCGAGUUCAGGUCCAGCAGAGGAGCAGCGGCGGACAUGACCCCGCUGCCGUCGACACCACCAUCCGCAGCAAGGCCAGCAAAAGCGGCGUGACGGUGCCGGCGCAAAAGUACCGACGUGCAUCGACUACGGUUUUAGACAGAAGUGGUGUGCGACCAGUGCCGCGUGGAUACCCGCUAUGUGUGCCGGUGUUGUGGCUGUGCUCUGUUACGUCAACUCGCUGGAUGGAGAUUUCGUGCACGACGACAUGGUGGCGGUGGUGGGGAACCCAGACGUCACCGGUGAGAGCAGGCGACACGCGCUGUCGUCAUCGUCGUCAUCGCUUUGGAUGAAUGACUUCUGGGGGCGACCGAUGGCCGAUCCCCGGAGUCACAAGUCAUACCGGCCACUCACAGUGCUCAGCUUCAGAGCCAACUACUUCGCAAACGGACGCCAGGUGCGCGGCUACCACGUGGUAAACGUAGCUCUGCACUGCGCAUGUUCGGUGCUGGUGGCCGUCGUCGCCCGCUGCGUCAUGCGGAUAAGUGCCAUCCAUGCGUGCUUCGCGGCGAUGCUCUUCGCUGCACAUCCUGUACACACUGAGGCUGUAAGUGUUCGUCCCUUUUUUUUUUUUUCAUUAGGCUGUAAUCUAUUUUCUCCAGUUCUGUGUCCCUCCCGGCUCCACGAGCUAACUGCAAGUUGUGAUCUUGCACCACUUGCGAUAUUGUCCCUAGGAGCCACGUUGAAGCAAACAACUUUGUCAAGCAUUAACAAGAAAAAAAAAGAAAGCAGUUACACUUGGCAUUGUUUGCAAACGGCUGAAGAACACAAGCAGCAUUCGUAUAAUUUGUUGUGCCUAUAAGUGGCUCACACCGACG